rnacentral:lncRNA from 1 species
UUUAAACCCGAUUAUACUGUCAUUUCACUGUACUCGGAUUCCUUCUCAUCUCAGUUCCAAGUGAGUAAACAUGCUGAAAAGUGAAAACUAUCAGUCUAUGAUAGAAGCAAAUAUAUUGACGAGUGAAAUACUAACCUGACAGAACGGGUUGAACCCCGUUAAGUAAAAUGGUGACAGCCAAGAGGUAAGACAAGUUAUCAACUGCUAGGAGGACAUCAGUGCUUGAUGUGAAGAUGUAUGCAAACUUGUCAAGUAACGCGACAAUGAGCACACAAAAGAAUAGGGAGAUGAAGCUCGAUUCGGCCACUGCAACCUUGGCUGCAAACUUUGCUGCCUGACCAUUUCCAGCUCCGAGCUCAUUUGCUACUCUUACCCUGCGAGUUCCAUAACAUGACUUAAUUCAAAAUUACUAGCUAGACCGAAUUUCAGUACUUUUUUUUACACAGAAUAACAAAAGUGAAAAGAGGACAAAAGAAAUGGUACCCGACUCCAGCCAAGAAAGCUAAAUGAAUCAUGAACUCCGACCCAUUUAUAGUCAAGCUGCAACAUUUGAAUCCAAGAAAUAAGGAAGGAACGAGCAACAGAUAUGGGUUAAUGUGGUAAAAACUGAAAUAACCAAAUAUAGACUCCAAACUUAACCGCAUUGGAUGAUAAAUUGUAGGGGAAUGUUGAUAAAACAGGGGUCUCAUACCAAAUUGAUAAGGCAUCAACAGCAAGAGUCGCAUCCGAUAAGUUUCCGGUCAUCACUAUCAAAAUUCUGUAAUACCAGAAUUCUAAGCUGCGUGGAUAAAUGAAAACAAUCAUUAGAAGUUUAGAACUAAGGGUAAUGCGUGUUUUUCGAAAUUGAAGGCACAUAUAUGAAAUUAAUGUGGUGUAAAAUUUAAGGAACAGAUUGUCUUCCCUCAGCUUUACUAUGAUGCAAAGGCAGGGUUUUUCUUUUGCCACCGGUGGAGAUGGUCUAAGUCAACUGGACCGCCUUCUCCAGAGCAGGAGGGGUUUAUUUAGCUAAAUGAGCAAAACAGUUGACAAGAGAACCGGUUGCUAUGUGCCUAUGUCCACAUCUAGAUUGACAUCAACAGUGCUAUCGUAAUUGUUGGAGAGGAAAUAUCUCAUAUCAGAAAAGAGAUAAAUAAAAUACAACUUAUAAAUAGAUGGAUCACACUUAAUUGUACCAAGACUUUUUGUGAUUAAAACCUAACACCUUAAAGGUGGUUAAGUUGGGAAAAUAUCGGUACAAUGUUAUCCACGGGCCACGCAUGGCCCUGUUCAAAUUGGUAUCAGAGCGGGUCCCUCUUCAAUUAUGUCUCCUAGCGUAAUGAGAGAAAAUCUCCCAACAUAAUGAGCCUAGAUUUGGGUUCAUUGAAUUGCCACCGGAAAAAAUUCUGAUUAGCCCAUACCAUACCAAGUGCCUGCAGUGGGCCUUGGACCGAAGCAUUACCGAUUUCCGAUAUGGGAAUUGGAUUGAAUGAAUUCCACGUGCAGACCUAAACAAAGUUAGGGUGCACGUGAGGAGUGUUGGAGAGGAAAUAUCCCACAUCAGAAAAAAGAUAUAUAAAAUACAACUUAUAAAUUGAUAGAUCACACUUAAUUGUACCGAGGUCUUUUGUGAUUAAAACCCAACACCUUAAAGGUGGUUAAGUUGGGACAAUAUCGAUAUAAUGUGAUCUACGGGCCACGCUUGUCCCUGUUCAAGUCUAAUAACAAUCAACCAAAGUCGACCUCAGCAGUACAAGCUCGGUUAGAGCGGUAACUUACCGCAUCCCCUAUAUCCUUGAACCAAAUUGGCGAAAGGCAGCCCACAACAAACAUGGUAGGCUGCUAGGAGUUUUCGUAAUUUUGCUAGGAGAGGUUGUUAACAGUUAACAGUAUUGUAAGUCUACUCAAUGCACCAUUGUUCUAUGAGAAAUUUUAUUCACACAUACCAGAUUUAUAAAUACACAUCCCUAUUUUUGAAACUUUUUUAAUACAAUUUUAUCCCUUUGAUGAAGAUGAAACAAAAAAAAACUAAACAAACAAAAAAGAAUACAAAAAACAAAAUUUUAUAUACAAAUCUACAACUCUAAGAAAUCUACAGUCUAUAAANNNNNNNNNNNNNNNNNNNNNNNNNNNNNNNNNNNNNNNNNNNNNNNNNNNNNNNNNNNNNNNNNNNNNNNNNNAAAAAAAAAAAAUAGUCAAUCACUUUGUCUCUAUUGAUAGUUUAUUAAGCUUCAUUUGCUUACUAAUUCGAUUUGAUUUUAGUUGAAUUAGUAGUAUUGAUCGAUCAUAGAGGUGAGAAAAUAUUGUGAUAGAUUCAUGAGGAGCAGUCGAUUGACAGAAAGAACAAGUUGAUGAGUUAAAGGGUGUGUAUUAAGUAAAAUAAAAAGGGCAUAAAAGGAAGUUUAAGGAAAAAUUUAGAUAAAAAAUAUAAGAGGUGUGUAUUAACUAUAUUAGGAUGUGUGAAUAAAAUUUUUCUUGUUCUAUUCAAACCAAUUAUUGUGAAGAAAAACCAAUUAUUGUGAAGAAAAAGAAAAAGAAAGAAAAUUGAACCAAAUUAUAUAGAAGGGAAAGAUGCAAUGUUACCAGAGCAUGACGCCAGAAGCAGUAGAAAGUUUGACAAAUUCCCAGAUCCCAGAGAAAGCUUCCAUAGACAGACCAGGCCAACUCAGUGGACACCAACCGCAAGUCGCAUACACAAGCAGCAUGAAACACAAGAGCCAACAUGAAAUAUCCAAGGCCACAGCAGCACCCACAAGUCCAAAAUCCAAAACAUAGACAAAAAUCCAGCUUACCAGGGUAUGAACCACCACAACCACCAAGGACAUCCACAAAGUCACAAAGUUCUUGAGCUGGCUCUGCAAGAACCUUUGCAAUGGGAACAUAAACGCACAGCUGAAAUGCAAGGGCAAUAACCAAAGGGACACCACCCCAGAAAGCUCUGACACUUCAUCUGUCUGCCCCAGUAGUUUCAGAAUCGGAGAAGCGAAAAUAAAAAUCGGUGAUAGCAGAAUGCAGCAGACGAACAAUACGAUCCAGGAUCUCUGGAGAUAAAUCCCAAGCAGUGAGUGCCUUUUGGCCCCAAAAGCUUGCCCGCAGAGAGUUUCCAGCGCGCUAGCCAUUCCCAACUAUUAAGAAACAAAACUCAAAAUGUCAAGAAUAUUAAUUUUAAUUAAACAACCAUUGCCAGUGAGCAAAUACUACUAGUGCGAAUCAGGUGUACGUUGGAGAAAUGUACCAGGAGACCAAAUGAGAAGCCGACGAUGACAUUGUUGACGAUGGAGAUUGCAGCGAGCUCAUUGUCACCGAGGUGACCAGCGAAGGCCUGAGUGAUGACGUUCAUGGAGUAGCCGGCAAGACGAGAGACGACAGCAGGCCCCACGACGCGCCAUAGUUUCUUGGUUUCUAUCCAAACUCUUGACGGAAGGCUUUUGGCAUUUAGAUCUUCAGGUGGACUGUCUCUGGUUGAUGGUUCAGGUAAUAGGGGUUGGUCAAGAACCCGAACCUCUUCUUCUUCUCUGUCCAUGUCUCCUUCUCUUCCGAUGGCCUUGUGAGACCACCAAGGAGAUGGAGGUAGUUAACACUUAACAGCAAGCUAGCUAGCUUGACUAUGAAGCUAGUGACAGAUUAUAAAUUAUUUACAGACGACACUUGAGAUCGACAAGAUUCGAUCAUACAUGGAAAUUAAAUCUUGAUUAGCGCGCGUUGAGUGGUUGUUACCAAAAUCGUUUGCUAUUGAAAUUUAGGUAAAUGGAAUCUUGAUUAGUGUUGGCACUCCAGCAACCUUUAUAACAAAUGGCUUACGCUCCUGAAGCAGAUUAAAAGCUGAAUCCAACACGAGUUGGGGUUUGCAAGUGAAAUGGAGUCUAGAGGGGGAUUAAGGAUUUCGCAAUAUGCGCUUUAUGUCAAAUGAUAUCAAACAUCAAUGACAUAUUUUACGACAAAAAAAAAAAAAAAUCAAAUAUUUUAUUUUUUGAAGAAAAGGAAGAACUUGUCUCUUAAUUAAAAUGUUCAUUCUUGGUCAAUAUGUAAAACUUUCGAUAGAUUUAGAACCGAAUCGGGAAUUAGAAACUUCUAAGAGAGUGCAUUUUGGUACUACUAUAAGACAAAACUGAGACUCUUAAAUGGAGCAAUUGUUAAUGUUAUCUUACGACCAGCUUUGAAGAAUCAAUUUUAAAAAUAUAUGAACAAUUUCGGAUUCUAGCCAUUAUAUAUAGAUCAUCCUUCAAGAGUAGGAGAGAUUAUAAAACAUGUGCGAUCUGCAGAUGCAAAGAGGAACCAUGAAGAAGUUGAGGGAAAAACAAUUGAGGAUCAUUUGUGUCAUUUUUCUAUUUUCCUUUUUGCUCCAUGUGCUCAAGUGGUCAUCAAUUUGACGGAGCAGUCACAAAAAAUUGACAGAAGUACCGAUAUAAUAGAAAGAUAAGAUUUCCGAUACCACAUCGAUAGACUUGAGAGUCGGGGUAUCAAAUCAUUUAGUCUCAUUGAACUCGCUCUCAACCUCAACAAAUUGUCAUGGUUAAAGCACUAUACCACCUCCCUGAAUCGUCAUCGCUGAUAUCCGGCCAUUGGUUGGUCUGCAUAACACAAGGUGCACAACCUCCGUUGGAAAAGUUUUGUAAUGAAAUCCUAAAGCGCUCCACCAAAGUUGAAGCAUAUAGCGAAACCUAGAGGCAAGUCCAAACAUUAGAGAGAGUUCUUUGUAUUUGCUUUGUAAGUAGAUUUUGUUAGAUUUAUUAGUAUGAUUGGCUCACUUCAAGAAAAGUUUAAGUUUUUUUUUUUUUUAAAUUGGAUAAAUUCUAGUGGACAAAAAGCAAAUACAACCAUUGGUCAAACAUGAGAUAAUUAACUCUAAUACAUACAUGUCCUACGUCUAGACAAGCAAGAGACAAACUUUAAUACAAAGCUCAAAAAGCCAUUAUUUGAAACAAAAAAACAAAUUACUUAAACUAGAGUUAAAAAAGAUGGACGACAAAAAACUAAAAUUUAAAAAGACGGACAAUCAAAAACUAAAGUAAAAAAAAAAUAGACGCUUUAAACCUAAAACCACAAAGAAAAAUGCAGUGAAAACCUCUACUCUUAUAAGAAAAAUGCAACUGUCCAGACGAGUAUGACGCCUAAAAACCCAUUACUUUACGUUUUCACUCACUAGACCAACGAACAACUUCGACCUAGCAACAAUACAGGCUAGAAGCGCCUCCCACAAAAGCCUACUGGCGAAGCACACGAUAAAGAGAGAAAAAAGAAAAAUAGAAACCCAAAGGCCUGUCCCACCAGGCCACAUUGCUGCAGGCCACGAGAGCUGAGACCCACAUGAUCAACCAUCUCUUCCUCUCUCCCGCCAAGAUCAGACCGGUAAUGGAUGUACAUCUCGAAAGAGAUUUUACCACCGGUUCAGUCAGGUGGCUCUUCUAGCCUUAAGCCUUUAAGACCAUGGUCACACUCACACCAAAUGGAUGUCGCUGCUACAAGCGUCGCCUGGUCAACAACAUAUCGGCUUGUCGCAAACCUCAAACCACCUAUAUAUGGCUCCCAUUCCGAUCUUCAGUCCCACCACACUGCAAAUAUGAAGUCUUCAGUCCCACCACACUUCAAUCCCACCACACUGCGAUCAUGAAGUCAAAUUCAUGAAGUCAUUCGUUCCAAAGCGUAGCCUGAAGAUAAUGAAUUUUGCAUGGAACGAAUGACCUUUACACUUUUCUAUCAAGAGAAAUGGUUCUGGAUCGAAUUUUACACAACAUCAUAAUCAGAAUGUUACAAAAAUGAGUUCGAUGAAUAUGACAGGAAAACUAUAAUGCUCCUAUAUGUUAUUUUCCUUCUGCAUAAGCUUCUACGGUCAUUGCUGUCCCUCUUCUUGAUUAUCUGGUCUAGACCACUUCUUCACUCGCCGGCCAGCAGUCAGUGCCUGCAAAAUUAGGUCAACCAGAUAUGAUGCGAUAAACGAUUGUCAUUCUCAACCAUGAAUAGGCCACCAAAUCUACUCAACAUAUUUCAUUGUUUAAAUUAUUGUAUUUGAUUAAAAAUUUGAUGACUGUAUGGUUAUUGAUAACGAGUUUGUACCUCAUUUUCCCAAUCACGACGUGUUGUGAUGAUAGCCAAAAUUACAGUUUGUACCAAAGUACCACCAAGGACCAUCCCAGACCACAUACCCUGUUUUACAUUAAUUUGCACAAGUUAGUCCGUAAUUGAAGUCUAUGAUUUGGUUAUUUAGGAGGGAAAUGUGCUGGAGGCUGAUGAAAGAGCAACCAUACCAAAACAUCAUAAUCGGCAACGAAUCCCAAAACUAUUCCAAGUGGGAGCCCAACAAUGUAAUAGCAGAAAAGAUUUAUGUAUGCCACCCAUGCUUGCCAUCCUGAGCCUAUAGCUAUUCCUGUCAAAAUGAAAAACACUUGUUAUAGAAAGGAGGACACAAUCAUAGUUGAGAUCACAAAUCAUAGAGAUUACUUCAAUGAAAAACCAUACUUGAACCCAAUACAAAAUCUUAGUCUACUUGGAUUCCUUCUCAAUCAUUCCAGUUCCAAGCAGGAAAACAUGUGCCCAAAAUUGCAUUCAUCGUAUUGACAAACUAACCUGAUAUAACGGGUUGAAUCCCGUUAAGUAAAAUGGUGACAGCCAAGAGGUAAGACAACUGAUCAACUGCUUGGAGGACAUCAGCACUUGAUGUGAAGAUGUAUGCGAACUUGUCAUGUAACGCAACAAUGAGUGCACAAAAGA